ensembl:lncRNA
CAGGGAAAGCCUGUGCUCGGAGGUUCUGCCCUUGACUGUGAGAGCGUCCCCAGCACGCUGACCAGCAUUCCCGGACUGGGGCUGCCUCAGAGGACACAUCAAUGACUCCAGCCAUUUUGCGGCCUCUCAUUUUUGGAAAGUGUUUCUUCAGUGUAAGCAGAGCCUGCUUUCUAGGCAUGUCUGAGCGCCCACCUCAUGGCCCUAUAAUCCUCACUAUCCUGGAACUUGCGGCGGGCCGGUGCACGAGGAGGAGCAGGGCAGAGAGACGCAACGGCUCCACCACCCACAACAUGUCCACGAGAAGACGCAUCUCGACACCCGUGAAUCUGGGCUCCGAGCCCCCUGGAUUGGGGAGACACAGUGUGGCUCCUGGUUAGUGGCAUUUGGCAAGUAAAGAAAUUGAAGCCCAGAUUCACACAGCAGGCAAGUGGCAGAAAGACUGAAAUCCAGGCCUGUUCUGAUUGAGUCUUAAUAACUAUACUUGCCUGCCUCCUAGAUGAUGGGGCAAUUGGAUAUCAGGAAUAUAAAGGGGAGGUGAGGCAGACGGAUGAGAAAAAAAUGGGAAGGUUUUCAAUGUCACCUGGAAAAGAAAAGGAAGAUAAGGGACACAAACAGAGCCAAGGAUUCGCACUUCCUUGGCUUGAGGGCGGCAGACACAUGGGACAGAGGAACUGAGGCCACACGCUUUGGCAAGAUGUGUACCAUGAACAGAGCCCACAUCCCACAGUCCUGGGUAUUUAGGGACCACAUGGGAAUGAGAAAUGCCUAAACAGAGGGCACUCCCAGUUUGGGCUGUCGCAAGCGCCUGGAUUCAUCAGCGUCUUAGCGGAGGGAGAACUCCCACCCUGGGAGUCAAGGCCCCAGAGACAGGAGCCGGCUGCUCAUGACGGGGAGUCACAGAAUGGGAAAGCACUGGACGUCUGGAAGGAGGACAGACACAGAAAAUAAAACCCCUUAGGUGGGCAUUAUCUGCAACAAAGCAAAGCAAAUUUACAAGCAUAUUAUGGAAACUGCGGGAGAGGGAAAUCAUAGAAACUUUCUAGUGAACAAGGAAAUUGGAAAUGGAAAUUGGAAUCUCCCAGGACAGCACCGAUUCCUAUUAAUUUGAACUGUGUAAAAUGUUAUUGAUAGUGUCUUUGUUACUAUCUCCUUCUUUCUGCUUUUUCUUAGUGAUUACACAAAUAUUCAAAAGGCUUCCGAGGGUUCAUUCUCAACCUCCUUGCCCCAAUCCUAUUUUUCCUACAACGUCUUAAAUUUCUGAAACCCCAGCCCUCCUACACUGGAAGUUUUCCUCCUGCCUGAAGAGAGCCUACUAUGUACGUGAUGUGCUCCUGGUGGGCCGAAACUGUGCUUUUCCAUCUCUGGAAUCCCUAGCAGGCUAAGCCUGGAAUGGGCAAACAGUAAGUGCUCAAUAAAUACCUACCGUGUGAUGAACAUUUCAUAGUUUUGGCUCCCCCGGUUGUGUGACAAUUCUGAGACUCACACUGAAAAGUGGCAGGAGAAAGCAAUUGGGCCCCAGUUUCUGCCAAGACGAGGUUGUGCACGAGGCCUGUCCCAGCGUGGGGAGGUCUGUAGGCUGGAGAGGAGCCUGUCAGGAUGUGCCCAAAGUCGCUGCAUUUUUCCUGGGUGGCAGAGCUGGAGGAUGAUGGAGGUGGGGGUGGGGGAAGCCCAUCACGAGCAGGACUACGAAAAUAAAGAGCGACCUCGCCUGUCGUGGACCAAGCUGACCCCCUAUGAGAUACAAAGAUGGCUCAGGGCCUGCCUGGGAACAAUUCCCUUGGUGUGGACCGCAAACUUGGAGGAAAACGGAAGAGCAGAACAAUUUCCCAUUCACGAAGAGAAUGAGGAGCCAAGUAUCUUUUCAGUGAGUCAGCUGUAGGCAAAGGGAUUUAUUUAUAAUAUUAUUAUUUGGUAGAAAAGAACUUACUAUGGCUGAAUGUAAAAAGUAUUUUUUGAUAAGUUAAAGAGAUUAAGAAAAAUCGGGCCGAUUUUGACAGAGAAUGGUGUGUAAACGAGAAGUGUUAUCAGUGAGAAUCUGGCACCAGCUCCAUUUUGUGAUGGUGAAAAAUAUCAGUAUUAUUUACUAAGAAGAUUAGGGUUGAAUUGGAAGAGAGGCUGGUUGUUGUGUGCAGAUGGAGAUAAGAUAAGGAUUUUACCUUCUCUGCAGAGCCAAAUGCAGCGCACACAGCGCUGUUAUCUCGGGGCUGGCAAGCAGGGGGAUAUUAAGAUGUACGUUGUAAUUACCAGUGGCAGGAGCAAAUUUCAUAGCGACUAUUUUAAACCCUAAUAAAACGCCGGCCUUUAAUUAUACAGCUUUGAAAUAUUUUUCUCAGUUAAUUGCAACGGGGGAAAAUAAAAUCAACCUCAUAUUUGAAACUGACUCUCACAGGGAAAGCCCUCGGCCUGGCGCUCCGGCUGCCUCUGAGCACCAUGCCAUGGGUGGAGAGCUGCCUUGGUGCCGAGUUUCCAGGCUCCGCCGACGCCCUCCCUCACUACCCACACCCCAGCCUUGUAUGGGGGGGACACCAUAAGAAAGGGUGAAGUCUUUCCGUGUGGAAUUAGACACCCCCCAAAAGCCACAAGGUCAUUUCUUCUGGAAAUGAAAUCUGAUUUCUAGAAGCCGGAGGCAGGUGGGAUUCAGGAGAAAAGAAGGGAGGGCUCGAGCGGACAGGGUGGGGUCUCUACCCGCAGAGGCAGCAGCCUUGGACGGUUGGACCCUCCUCCACCUCCCCAGGGGGCAUACUGAGCCUGUCGCCCAUCUUGGUCCACACCUCUCCGACUUUCAGGUUCUUAGAUCAUAGUUUCAUGUCAUUAACGCCUCCCUCUCCUUUGCCCCACACUAAUAAAAAUAAUAAUAGCAGUUGUCCUCGUCCUUGGAAUACCUCCUGUACGCGCCAGGCACUGCCCUAAGCCUUUUGCAUCCACAUAAACUUCUGAGCAAGAGGCAGGUUCCUCUAGUAUUUACAUUUUUGCCUACAUUUUAGAGUACUGUUACCGAGGUCCAGAGAAGCAGUCAGUGUCCAGGAUCGCCCCCAGGGUUGCCAUCCAGGUCCACUUGACCGCAGAGCCCUGCUCACCGCCCUCAGGGCCUCCAGUGUCAUCUUGUGUAAGAACAGCAAUAGAAGACAUCUGUGUCUUUUCCUUGACAUCAAAGGAAAUCCUGUUAAACUUCAAACAUUAAGUAAGAUGUUAUUGUAGAUUUUUGGAAGAUAUUCUUUAUCAGAUUAAAACAGGUUCCUUCUAUUUCUAGUCAGAUAAACAUUUUCUUUUCUUUUUUUUAGUUAAGAAAGAGUGUUGAAUUUUAUUGAAUAUUUUCUGCAUCUACUGAGAUGAUCAUGUGUUUUCUCUUUUAAUCUAAUAAGUGGUCACUUACACUGAUAUAUCUUCUGCUAUUGAGUGACACAUUCCUGGGAUAAACCCUAUUUGGCAAAGACAUAUGAUUGCUUUUAAACACCUCUGAAUUUGAUUUGCUUUGGUAUUUUACAUCUAUGUUCAUAAAUAACAUUGUCAUGUGAUUUUCUUCCUUUCUUCCUUCUUUCUUCUUUUUUGUCCUACGUUUUUCUAUUAUCCUAUUAUCUUUGUCCAGGUUGAAUAUCAAGCUUAAACCAGCUGUAUUCAAUGACUUAGUUAGCUUUCUCUAACUUUCUAUCCUCUCAAACAGUUUGUUUGAUUAUGGACUUAAGUACUGCUUCAAUUUAUUUAAUAAUGAUUACAAGUCCCUUAAAGUUAGCACAUUUCCUUGAGUCAAUUUUGGUAAUUAUCUAUUUAUUUAAGUUUUCAAGUUUAAUGGCAUAAAGUUGUCCAUAUACUAUUUUAUGAUUUUAAAAUUUCUACCGCAUCUGUAGUUAUGUCCCCUUUCACCAUCCAAUAUUAUUAUUUAUACAUUCUCUUUAUUUUCUCCUUAGUCUAUUAAUCUGACAGAGAGAUACUAAAAUCUCUCCCUGUAAUUUUUUUUAAAAAAACUUUUCCUUAUAAUUAUGUCAGUUUUUACUUUGUAUAUUUUGAGACUAUCUUAUUAGGCACAUACAAUUUCAUGAUAAUUAUACUGUAUUUGCGAAUUGUUCUUUCCAUUAUGCAAUAUUCCACUUUAUUUCUAUGUUAUGCCUUUUGUCUUAAAUUAUAUUUUGUCUGAUACAAAGUUAUUUUGAUUAGUAUUGCCUUGUAUAUAUGCGUAUCUUAUUUUUUAAAAUGAAUGGCAUCAUACUGUACACAUAGUUCUGCACCUAGCUUUUAUGAAAAAAAGUUACUGGGGGAAAUAACAUGCACAUAGAAAAUGCAAAAAACAUAGAUGUAAUAAUUAUAAAGCGUACACCUGUGUAACCACCACUCAGAUCAAGAAACGGAACAUGGCCAGCACUGCUCGUGUCUGCCUCUCCUUCGUCAUCCGUUCCCUCCCCCGCUGCAGAAGGAACCAGUAUCUUGACUUUUGUGAUAUUCAUUUCCUUGUUUUUCUCUACAGUUUUGCCUCCUCUGAAUGCAUCUCUAAGCAAUAAAGUUUAGCUUUGCUUGUUUUGAAACUUUAUAGUAAUGGAAUCAUAUGGUAUAUAUUCUUUUGUGUCUUGCCUUUUCUUUUUGCUCAAUAUUAUAUUUUUAAGAUUUAUACAUGAUGUUGCAUGUAACGGACUUGGCUUUUCCCACUUAUAAAUAUAUCUUGAGGAUUGUUCCAUAGCACUGUCUGUAGGAACAAUGACUUAUUCAACUAG